CUACGGGGUGCUCCAGUAAGGAAUAUUGCGCAAUGGAGGCAACUCUGACGCAGCCAUGCCGCGUGCAGGAAGAAGGCCUUAUGGGUCGUAAACUGCUUUUGUUUAGGAAUAAACCCCCGAACGUGUUCGGGGCUGAAGGUACUAAACGAAUAAGCACCGGCUAACUCCGUGCCAGCAGCCGCGGUAAUACGGAGGGUGCAAGCGUUAUCCGGAUUUAUUGGGUUUAAAGGGUGCGCAGGCGGGCUAUUAAGUCAGUGGUGAAAUCCCGGGGCUCAACUCCGGAACUGCCAUUGAUACUGAUAGUCUUGAGUUUGGUUGAAGUGGGCGGAAUGUAGCAUGUAGCGGUGAAAUGCAUAGAUAUGCUACAGAACACCAAUCGCGAAGGCAGCUCACUAAGCCAAAACUGACGCUCAUGCACGAAAGCGUGGGGAUCAAACAGGAUUAGAUACCCUCGUAGUC
rnacentral:rRNA from 1 species